GCCUUGGUAGCACAGUGGUUAAGUGCUCAGCUGUUAACCAAAAGGUUGGUGGUUCAAACCCACCCAGUGGCU
rnacentral:tRNA from 1 species